rnacentral:rRNA from 1 species
GACUACUGGGGUAUCUAAUCCUGUUUGAUCCCCCAGCUUUCGUGGAUGAGCGUCGAUGGUGGUCCAGAGACUUGCUUUCGCCAUUGGUGUUCCUCCCGAUAUCAACGCAUUUCACCGCUACACCGGGAAUUCCAGUCUCCUCUCCCACAUCCAAGCCCGAUAGUAUCUCUUGGCCUCCCUGGGUUGAGCCCAAGGCUUUCACAAGAGACUUAUCGAGCCGCCUGCCCACGCUUUACGCCUAGUAAAUCCGAGUAACGCUCGCCACCUUCGUCUUACCGCGGCUGCUGGCACGAAGUUAGCCGUGGCUUAUUCGCCGGAUACAAUCAGUUCACGUUAUUCACGUGAAUAUUUUUCACCGACAAAAGGAGUUUACAAUCCGAAGACCUUCGUCCUCCACGCGGCGUCGCUGCGUCAGGGUUUCCCCCAUUGCGCAAAAUUCCCCACUGCAGCCCCCCGUAGG